AGCUUCGGCCGGGAAUCGAACUUGGACCGCCCGCGUGGUAGGCGAGCAUUCUACCACUGAACCACCGAUGGU
rnacentral:tRNA from 1 species